rnacentral:sRNA from 1 species
GAUAUUUUUUUCUCAGGGUAAACCCCCCAGUAACUGUUUGAGUUGCCGUAUCAUAGAGUGUCUGUCUGGAAUUUUUUAUAUUAUAUCCAAGUGUGGAACUUCCCCCUUUUUUAUACUGAGAAAGAAGCAAGUGUUGCCAACGAUUUAUAUUUAUACUUUUUAAACUAAUAUUUAAAAAAAAAAAAUGAACAAAAACAUUAUCAUUGAGUUGCUAAGCAGCGUUCUACCAUUGCUGUGUGUGACAAUUUUCUUUACUGUGUGCUUGUUCCUGGCAUCUAAUGCAGUGUGUAGGAGUAUCACCCCCUCAUAAUGUGUGUGGAGAUGUUUUUAUCAAGGUCAAACCUGUUCCUGUCAAGGACACUGCCACAUGGAACGCAAAGCCAUUGUAAACCUCAACAUUUUUAUAUGUUCUCCAGAAAUACAAUGACUGAUCUCAAUAUUUAUAUGUAUAUUGUGUAUGCAUGACAUAUGAGUAUUUAUACUUGAAUGCCAACUUGAGAAAUGUACCCAGUUAGGGCCAGUAAGGAAUAUAUAAUAAUCUGUCCAGAAUUUGGUUCAUAAUAUUUUUUUCCCUUUUUAUACAUGUAUAUAUUAUAUAUCAAUUGCAUGUGAAUUUUUUUGCUUUUUGUAGUGUAAGGUUUGUGUUUGAAUUUUCCAGAGUCGCUCAAAUAUUCACUGUAGGAAAAAAAUACACAUUGACUGUUCUUGGUUAGAAAACAUAAACAAAAAACCAAACAAGGAGUUGAACACUAUUUUUUAAUGUCUACCUCAGAUAUCCAGAACAGGAUAUAAGAUGGGUAUUGUCCAUGUUGUAUACUGUAAUCUGGAGGGCAAAAUCUGGUUUAAUCUUACUUAACCUGUCCUGUUAUAUUCAGCAAGAGGCAGAGGAAGCAUUUUGUAUUCUAAGUCUUAGUACAUUUGAAGGCUUGGUCUUCCAAAAGAAAUUGCAACUCGCAUUCAAAUUCCCAGGAACUUUCUUUUCAUUUUGUGAAAAUUCUUGAUAAUAGAAACUAGGGCAGUUUUUAAAAAAGAGUAAACAAUGCCAAAGAAGAAAUUCGGUUAUGGUGUAAGUUUUCAACAUGUUUUCCUCUCGAAUCCUCUCGAAAAUGGGACAGUUUCUGUUACAUGCCAGUAUAAGCUAUAUAGAUGACAUUCCGAAGUGACCAGUGUGGCGGAAUAUUUCUCUAUGUCCUCUCAUUUGUACAUUUCAUUAUUAAAGCAUUGUAUUG